GAACGACUGCUAAGACUGGAUAGGAUGAUAAAAGGCAUCUUUUAUCUUUUAAAAGACCUAGUAAUAGGUAUGCUUUAGGAGGGGCUUGCGCCAUAUUAGUUAGUUGGUAGGGUAAUGGCCUACCAAGACGAUGAUGUGUAGCUGGACUGAGAGGUUGAACAGCCACAUUGGGACUGAGACACGGCCCAAACUCCUACGGGAAGCAGCAGUAGGGAAUUUUCGGCAAUGGAGGAAACUCUGACCGAGCAACGCCGCGUGAAUGACGAAGUACUUCGGUAUGUAAAGUUCUUUUAUCAAGGAAGAAAAGCAUAUGGCGAACCAUUUGUUUGCCGGUACUUGAUGAAUAAGCCCCGGCUAAUUAUGUGCCAGCAACCGCGGUAAGACAUAAGGGGCAAGUGUUAUCCGGAAUUAUUGGGCGUAAAGGGUGCGUAGGCGGUCUAGUAAGUCAGUGGUGUAAUGGCAACGCUUAACGUUGUCCGGCUAUUGAAACUGCUAAACUUGAGUUAGAUAGAGGCGAGUGGAAUUCCAUGUGUAGCGGUAAAAUGCGUAAAUAUAUGGAGGAACACCAGAGGCGUAGGCGGCUCGCUGGGUCUUAACUGACGCUGAGGCACGAAAGCGUGGGGAGCAAACAGGAUUAGAUACCCUGGUAGUCCACGCCGUAAACGAUGAGUACUAAGUGUCGGGUUAAACCGGUACUGAAGUUAACACAUUAAGUACUCCGCCUGAGUAGUACGUACGCAAGUAUGAAACUUAAAGGAAUUGACGGGACUCCGCACAAGCGGUGGAUCAUGUUGUUUAAUUCGAAGAUACCCGAAAAACCUUACCAGGUCUUGACAUGUUUUUGCAAAAUGAUAGUAAUAUCGUGGAGGUUACCAGAAACACAGGUGGUGCAUGGUUGUCGUCAGCUCGUGUCGUGAGAUGUUAGGUUAAGUCCUAAAACGAGCGAAACCCUUAUCGUUAGUUGCCAGCACGUUAUGGUGGGGACUUUAACAAGACUGCCAAUGAUAAAUUGGAGGAAGGUGAGGAUCACGUCAAAUCAGCAUGCCCCUUAUGACCUGGGCUACAAACGUGAUACAAUGGCUGUUACAAAGGGUAGCUGAAACGCAAGUUCUUGGCCAAUCCCCAAAAACAGUCCCAGUCCGGAUUGAAGUCUGCAACUCGACUUCAUGAAGUUGGAAUCGCUAGUAAUCGCGAAUCAGCAUGUCGCGGUGAAUACGUUCACGGGGUUUGUACACACCGCCCGUCA
rnacentral:rRNA from 1 species